GACAGAGGAGCCAAGCGUUGUCCGGAUUGACUGGGCGUAAAGCGCACGCAGGCGGAUGCGCGCGUGGGGUGUGAAAUCUGGCCGCUUAACGGCCAGGCGCCAUCCCAUACGGCGCGUCUGGAGUGAUGCAGAGGUCGAUGGAAUUGCCGGUGUAGUGGUGAAAUGCGUAGAGAUCGGCAGGAACACCCAGGGGGAAACCAGUCGACUGGGCAUCUACUGACGCUGAGGCGCGAAAGCGUGGGGAGCGAACAGG
rnacentral:rRNA from 1 species